UUAAAAGUAGAAAUAUAUUUGGAGAAUUUGAUAAGUAUUAAAACUCUGUUCUGCUUUGUUUUUUAGGUUGUAGAUAAUUUCGGUAUGUGUCAAAACAAGGUCAUCAAGGCAUAAAGAAGAAAAUUAAGCAGAUGAAGAAAUCAGUGAAAAAAUAUAAUAUUGUAAAUCCAGGCCUCUGAUAGAAGUAACAUCUUGGCAAGUUCAUGCCUGGAGCGGGACCUUGUGCGGCUGUUUGGGUGUGAGUCCUGGGUCCAUCACUGCAUAGUUCUGUGACUUCUUAGGCAAGUUCUUAGACUCUCUUAGUCUCAGUUUCUGACUGUGUAGAAUGGAGACAAUAGGGUUUAU
rnacentral:lncRNA from 1 species